GGAGGCGGCGAUCGGCUGCCACCCGAGCAGGGGCGCCUCGGUCCUUCGCACCCCGCCGUCCCUCCGCUGAAGACCGUGCGCCCCGGAGUGGGUCUAACGCAACCCUGAGCUCGGGUUCUGCAGAGGACCGGGUCCCCUGCCCCUGCCUGCAGACACUCCUCCGACCGCGGACCUAGCUGGCCCUCCCUCUCCUUGCCUUCAUCGUGAACGAAAAAUCCUACCUAGAAUGGGAGAUGCUAAUACACAAUGAUCGGAAAGAAUUCAAUUUUGUGUAUCCCUUUGUAAUUCCAAGUAUGAAUUGCAGGUCUAAUGAUCUCUCUCUGGCCCAAGGAAUUCCCCAAUUUUCUAAAGCUUUAAAACCUACACUACUUUAUUUUACAUCCCUUCUAAAUAUGUCAAAUUCGUCUCUUGUGAGUUCAUGAAAUAUUCGCCAAGAAUUUGCUCAAGCUGGGCACAUAUGGCAGGCAGAUCUCUCUUUAAUUUACAGGUGAUGUCUGCUGGGACAAUGGCGCACAAGCAGAGGAGAUAUUCAUCAGCUGUACAUCUGCUGUUCCUUGCUGCCCCACAAGCCCAGAAUUCUGGUUGUCUUACAAUGUUCGGAGGUUCAGUGACAUGUGUGUUUCAUCUUUGAUUGCCAUUCCUUGCUCAUCACUAAGCUGAAGAUAGAGUGUUGGUAGAAUGCUUACAUAUCAAGGAAUAAAAGCAAUUGAGCUGGUUGUGCAGUGUUUCCAAUAUUCUGUGAAUCAAUUUCCCCAACAUUAUCUAUGAAACCAAAUCUCUGUGUUAGAUUGGAUUAUUGUUCCCAAUCCUUCUUGUUCUCCUGGCUCUACAAUUAUACACCUGUGCCUUUUGGCAUGAAGUUUUGCAUUACCUUCCACUAUUGAUGUUCAACUUGGCCAUAUGACUUGUUUGGCCAAUGGAAUGUUGGUGAAUAUGAUGAGAGGAGAGGUGUUAAAUGUAUUUGAAUGAUUUGGCUUGACCUCUUGCCAGAAGGAGACAUGUGGUGAAGACUUGAAUCUGACCUGCAUCCUGGAGCCAAGUCCAGCUGAAUUCAGCUGAACCCAACCAAGUCUUAAGGAGCCCAGAUGAGAUGAGCUGAAUCUCAGUUCAUAUACAGACCCAUAAGGGAGAAAAAUAAAUGACUACCAUAAGCCACUGAUAAGUUGGGAUUAUCUGUUACAUAAUAUUAUUAUUGCAGCAAGCAAUAGCUGACUAACUCAACAUGAUUUCCUCAUGGAUUUGUGGUGUUACCAUGAUCACAUAUCAGAUUCUCUUAUGUAAAUGGGUUGUUUCUGAGUUCUCUAUUCUGUUUCAUGGUUCUGUAUGUCUGCUACUAUAAAAAAUGACCGACUUAUAAAGAAAUUUAGUCUUCCAUGUGCAUUUUAGAAUACGUUUAAAUUCCCCAAAUCUUGCUACAAGUUUGGUUUGCAUUGAAUUUAUAAACACAUUUAGAGAUAAUUGAGAUCUUAAUAACGUUACAUCAUCUUAUCCAUAAACAUUAUAUAUACCUCUAUUUGGGUUUCCUUUGAAUUCCUUCAAUAAAUUCAAAUAUGUUAAUUCCUGGA